UGGCGAACGGGUGAGUAACACGUGGGUGAUCUGCCCUGCACUCUGGGAUAAGCCUGGGAAACUGGGUCUAAUACCGGAUAGGACCAUGCUUUAGUGUGUGUGGUGGAAAGUUUUUUCGGUGUAGGAUGAGCCCGCGGCCUAUCAGCUUGUUGGAGGGGUAAUGGCCUACCAAGGCGGCGACGGGUAGCCGGACUGAGAGGUUGGUCGGCCACAUUGGGACUGAGAUACGGGCCCAG
rnacentral:rRNA from 1 species